rnacentral:tRNA from 1 species
GGGGAUAUGGCUCAAUGGUAGAGUUCUUGCUUUGCAUGCAUAAGGCACUGGGUUUGAUCCCCAAUACCACCA